rnacentral:rRNA from 1 species
AUUGAACGCUGGCGGCAGGCCUAACACAUGCAAGUCGAGCGAGCGGCGGACGGGUGAGUAAUGUCUGGGAAACUGCCUGAUGGAGGGGGAUAACUACUGGAAACGGUAGCUAAUACCGCAUACCAUCAGAUGUGCCCAGAUGGGAUUAGCUAGUGGGGGGGGUAAUGGCUCACCUAGGCGACGAUCCCUAGCUGGUCUGAGAGGAUGACCAGCAAAACGGGAACUGAGAAACGGUCCAGACUCCUAGGGGGGGCAGAAGUGGGGAAUAUUGCACAAUGGGCGAAAGCCUGAAGCAGCAAUGCCGCGUGUAGGAAGAAGGCCUUCGGGUUGUAAAGUACUUUCAGCGGGGAGGCGUUACCCGCAGAAGAAGCACCGGCUAACUCCGUGCAAGCAGCGCGGUAAUAC